CAAUACUUUCCAUCACAUAAAAUAGUUCAAAAGUAGCCCCAAAAAACAAUGGUAAUCUAUUUGUGAGUGGCUGGUAACAUUUGAACAUUCAUUAGCCAUUUGGCUGGUGGACAAAAAAGUUAAUUUUGGACCCU